rnacentral:misc_RNA from 1 species
AAAAAAGAACGUCGAUUCGCCGUGACCGGUGCAGCUCUGCCACAUUUCUGCGACUAACCUUUGCCAUCCGUAUGCCGAUGACCUGCUGCACAGACUUCGCUACGACGCCUCAUCGUUCUCGUUAACGCGCGAAGUCAAUCGCUUAGUAUGUCUGAGAUUGACGAUCUGGUGCGACGCCUUCGCAGCCUUACCGGGUACGUGGUUGCGACUCCUGCUCCUUCUCCAACUCCCGUCGCUGCUGCACCAGUAGAGAAGCAAGUUGGUGAAGAGAGUCUUCUCAUCUUACAACAGUCUCUGCGGCGCCACCCUUGCUUUGCUGUGUUUGGUCUCUCGCGAGCAGAGCUGGAGUGCCAGCUUCUACAGCAGCUCGAGGAUGCGGUGAAGGCACCCCUCGGCGUCGCGGGUGAGGCGCCAGAGGCGGUAACCUGGCGAGUUUUUAUCAACAACGCUGCCGAGGAGCUCGAGACGGAGCGUCUACGUGGUGUUUUCAAGGAUGCCGCGCAGAGAAUUCAUGGUGCCACGGACAAGCUCUUUCGCAGACUUGGCGUCGCCGAGGCUCCUGCUCUUGAUCAGGUGGGAAGCGGAUAUGCUUGCCCGUGGAACGUGCUCACAGUUCUGGAGAACGGCAUCUUUUUCGGCCAGGACGAUGCUGUGGAGCUGGAAAAGGUGCAGUUGGAAGUACCAAACGCAACGGCGUCUAUCCUGCAAAACACGAAACGAGUGUACAUCAACACGUUCGACACGAUGGCGUGGCUGCACCUGCUGCACCAGAUGAUGUCAUUUCCUGUAUCCGCGGUGCGGGCGGUAUGGCACGCGGCACUGUACCACUUCCCGACCGCAGCCCCCCUCGUUUGCGUGUAUGUUCGGUUAGAGAUGGCGGCGCUGGCGAAGAAAACUAGGCUGGAGGCCUGCUGCAGCGAGACGGACACCAAGGACGUCUACCAGGCCUGCCUUCGGUUGCUGAACACGUUUUACCGCCACCUGCCCUUGGCGUUUUCCUGCGAGCUGUACUCCCUCUUCUUCUCGUUUGCGGCGGAGUACGUGCAGCCAGACAGCGCUUCGCUGGAUCUACUGUACCGCACCUGCCUGCGCCGCGACGUCGGCAUGCUCCCACAAAGCACAGCACUGUGGGUUCAAUAUUUGAACUGGCGCUCCGCCUCCUUCCGCGACCAUAUGCGUCGCCGUGAAUGGCGCAAGCGGAUGUACAACCGCAUCCUCUCCAUCCCUCUUGUCGGACUCGAUGCCGUGAAGGACGAGUACGAUAUGUUUGUCGCCACCGAGUUGCGCGGGCGGGUGGCGCCGGACGAGAGGAUUGAGCUGGAGAAGCGACUGGCGCGCGUCAAGACAGAGGCGGACGACCUGUCGCGACUCAUGUACUUUUUCUACCCCACCGAGUGGGCGCCGGCGACCUCCGCGCAUGUGCCGUUUCCCUACACGCUCUAUCUCGCGCGCCCCCUCACAGUGGACGGCCCCACCGCCUCCCUAAGCCUGAAAGAGUCGGUGCUGUCGCGUAUUGAGAUGGAUUUGUGGAGCCUGUGGUCCACGCUCCUACAGCGCGUUCGCCGGCCGCUGUUCCCCGGAGCUGGCGGAGAAGUUCUGCACUACAGCCGCUGCCGGAACUUUAUGACAAUGAUGGCGUGCUUCUUUCCGCACCAGGCGACACUGUGGAUGGAGCUGGUCGACUUCUGCGUCCACCAGCAGCCUCUCCUGUCGGACAAAGAGCGCUUCCACACCGUCGCGGCAGCGGUUCACUUGGCGGUUGCUUUUUGUCGACGGAACUUGUGUGUGCGCCUCUUCGUGGCGCAGGUGUACCACGCCGACCUCGGCGCAACCGAGAUGGCGUUCCGGGAGGUGAAGGAGUGCCUGCUGAACCUGCGUGCCUGGCUGCUCUCCUACGUGCGGAGUGAAGAGGAGGGGGCUGCCGCGGAGGAGGCGUUGGAGAAACUGCAGCACAUUACUGUGCUGGCGGUGAACUAUAUGCGCAUGGGCAAUGCGCAGGGAAAGGCUGUGCAUGUGCGGUUGGUGGCGCGAUUUGUGAUGCACCAUGUCGACUUCCUCUCGCUGACAAUGGGGGCACUCCGGAAGCUGCUCAAGUCCGGCGCUAUCGCGACACCAGCGCCGUUUCUACACCCCUUUCACCUCUUCUGUGCCCACUGGAUUUUGCUGGAACUUAUCCGCAACCGUUGCCCCCGAAGUGCACUCGUCAUCCUCCAACAGUGGUGCGAGCAUCUCAAGAUGAUCCUGCGCUCUGGCAAGAGCAAGGAGUGGAGCUGCGAGGAGUGCGGCGUUGACGAACUGGUACUCGACGCGUGCGCCAACAUCCUCACCGCCGAUCCGUCCUACGCAGAGGCGGUGGGGACGACGCUAGGAGACCUCGAGGACGUGGCCGGCAGCGAUGGCCUUCAGUCUCAGAAUUUCCUCUACGCUGCACGGCAACUGCGCCACCGCUUUUUCCUUCCGUGCACACGGCUAGAAAAAGACAACACAAGUGACAUCAUGCUCAUCACGAAGCUACUGCUCCCGCAUGCGGCACCGCACCGCUACGACACCGUUCAGUUUCGGUGCCCGCUACCUCAACGACCACUGCUUUUGCGGGGGGCCGAUAAGGCGACGACACCACUGUUGGAGGACACCGCCGCCACGCAGGCUGAGCACCACGACGAGGUACAAGCUCCUCGGACCACACCAGCUCACCCGGCGCAUACGUUCCCCGAGGAAACACUGUGGUCGUCUUCGGCGGCAAUCCGCAACUCGAGCGCACCUGGCCGGCAAAGGUUUGACCCGGCCCGUCGCGGGCCGUAUCCCUCUCGGUUUCGCAAUGGGGGUGAUGACGCCAAUAAGGAGCUCCCAGCAGUGCCCACCGCUCUCCCAAGCCGACUGGCCAUUGUGUCCGAGGCAGUGCAGCUUCCCACUCUGCUGGACUGCCUCGCUUCUGUACGCGAGGGAGCGGGAGAGGCAACUGCGGUGGAAGGUAAGGCCGCGACGAAGCUGCCCCCGGUGGAUCACCUGGAGGAGUUCAUCAGACAACUGCCAUCCGUGUACGAGUACAACCCUGAUAUGGAGGAGGACGGGCAGGAGGCGUCCACCGACUGGGUGUUUCUUGCACUUCUGAGUUGCGAGGCCUUAUCGUGAUGCUGGCUCUAACUCAUAGGCAAGUGGAGGAGGGGUCUUCGCGAUGGCAUCGUUGAUGCAUCUUCGACGGCGACGAAGCGGGAGGGCGAGUGCAAGCAUUGUGAGGGUCAGGGAAGACCUACGCGUGCUUGCAGUCUCUGCUUUCUCCUGCGUGUUUCCUUCGCCCUAAAAAAAAACGAAAAGACCAGAACAUAAUCUAUCACACCAAAAGGAGGCAACACCGCGGGUGCAGCGCCAAGGAAGACGGGCAAAAAAGAGGACGCGGAAUGCACACCCUCCUUUGACCGGCGCAGGCACAAGGCAUCCCGCAAGAACCUUCGCUCUUUUUUCGUUGGAGCCUCACUGUCUGCGACUCGCUGACUGCGGCACGGCUGCGCCGGUGGUGGGGUGCG